AUGGAGUCUCAGUGUCACCCAGGCUGGAGUGCAGUGAUGAGAUCUCAGCUCACUGCAACCUCUGCCUCCCGAGUUCAAGCGAUUCUUCUGCCUCAGCCUCCCAAGUAGCUGGGACUACAGGCAUGUGCCACUAUACCCGGGAUGUGACUUGCUCCGGUUGCCUUCUGCCAUGAUGGUGGCAGCCUCCCCAGCCAUGUGGAACUGGUCUCACUCUGUUGCCCAGGCUGGAGCGCAGUACCACAAUCACAGCUCACUGCAGCCUCGACCUCCCAGGCUCAGGUGAUCCUCCCACCUCAGCCUCCCAAGCAGCCUAGGACUACAG